GCCUUUGUGGUGUAAUGGUGAGCACGCUCGGCGCGUAUUCAAGAAGUCUGAGGUUCGAGUCCCAGCGAGGGCA
rnacentral:tRNA from 1 species